rnacentral:rRNA from 1 species
UGACAGUACUCCUACGGGGAGGCAGCAGUGGGGGAAUAUUGCACAAUGGGCGCAAGCCUGAUGCAGCCAUGCCGCGUGUAUGAAGAAGGACCUUCGGGUUGUAAAGUACUUUCAGUAGUGAGGAAGGCGGGUGUGUUAAUAGCGCAUUCGUUUGACGUUUAGCUGCAGAAGAAGCACCGGCUAACUCCGUGCCAGCAGCCGCGGUAAUACGGAGGGUGCGAGCGUUAAUCGGAAUUACUGGGCGUAAAGCGCAUGCAGGUGGUUUGUUAAGUCAGAUGUGAAAGCCCGGGGCUCAACCUCGGAAUUGCAUUUGAAACUGGCAGACUAGAGUACUGUAGAGGGGGGUAGGAAUUUCAGGUGUAGCGGUGAAAUGCGUAGAGAUCUGAAGGAAUACCGGUGGCGAAGGCGGCCCCCUGGACAGAUACUGACACUCAGAUGCGAAAGCGUGGGGAGCAAACAGGAUUAGAUACCCUGGUAG